UUGCUGUGAGGAUGAUUUUUUAAAAUGAUGACCUGUGAUUCAUCUAUACGCUAUUCUGAGCCAUGG